UUNCUUNNGGAUNNCUCAGCCCAUUUACUCACUAAGCCCCACCUUUCAUCGUACUGCGAGUUUCAGACCACAACCCCAAAUGAGAACCCUCUAAGGCCUUUCUUCCGCCUCACACUUGCCUGCCCCCUCUACCCCCAUCGGUGCAUUGCGUAGCCCUACCAUAAUGGCCUGACGAUCUGACGUCCUCCCCAACUUCCCUUUGGUUUACCCUGGCAGUCCCUCUAA
rnacentral:rRNA from 1 species